rnacentral:rRNA from 1 species
GACGAACGCUGGCGGCGUGCUUAACACAUGCAAGUCGAACGGAAAGGCCCUGCUUUUGUGGGGUGCUCGAGUGGCGAACGGGUGAGUAACACGUGAGUAACCUGCCCUUGACUUUGGGAUAACUUCAGGAAACUGGGGCUAAUACCGGAUAGGAGCUCCUGCUGCAUGGUGGGGGUUGGAAAGUUUCGGCGGUUGGGGAUGGACUCGCGGCUUAUCAGCUUGUUGGUGGGGUAGUGGCUUACCAAGGCUUGGACGGGUAGCCGGACUGAGAGUGUGACCGGCUCCAGUGGCCUAGGGGAGGGACCCGGGCGCAAUCGGGGGCAAGGGGCGAGAACUAGAGCAAACGGGGCGGAGUGCGGGUGGAGCGUCGUCGGGUGGGGGAGGACGGUAAUUGGGUAGGAAAGCGAGUUCGUUUGUAACGAGGUGUGAGGAAGUGUACUGGAGAAUGAGGCACGGGCAACUUCGUG